GGAAGGCGGAGGCCGUGCAGUGGGCUCCUGGGGCUGGGGGUCGGCUCGGAAUCAGGUAAAUGGCACCGGAAGCUGAAGGGGGAUGGGGAUUGCCAGAGUUUGAGGCUCAAGCUGCCCGCCCUUGGCGGGGGGGCUACUGAAACCCUCCCGCCCAUGUUCGCCUGGAGGAGCCCAGACCCCCACACCGGUGUCCAGGGGAGGCCAGGACACGCACACCCCCGCCAGUAAAGUCUAGUGGAGUUCAGAUCCACACACCUGUGUUUGGGGGGCCCAGGCCUCCCCCAUCUGUGUCCGGGGUCACUCACUAGGUCAUUUCAUAUCGAUUUGCUUUGAGGCUCAGCCUAGAGGGGUGUUCUGCCCGCCUGUGUCGGGGGAACUUAAGGUCUCCCCAAAUUUGUGUUCAGGGGAGUUCAGCCUACGGACUAAGGCCCUCCACUUGCAUGUCCAGGCCCAAUACCAGCUCUCUGCCUGCCCCUUUCUUGCAGUCCCUCCCAGCAGAAAUUCCCCCUGGGUCCCCAUUCCGCCUCCCCUCUCUGCCCUUUUCUUCCUUUGUCCCUUCCAGCCUCCUGGCCCCCCAGCUUCAGAUCAGCACACUGUUGACUCUCAGUUGAGAAGCUAUCAGCCUUCACAGUCUGGCCACCCUCCCUUCGGUACCUAGGCAGCUCCCCGGAGGCCCCCUGGGGUCCUGUCUUCUCCGCCCACCACCUGACUGGCUCCACUUAAUUUCCCCCUCAGCCUGUCCACCCACAUCUGGCUGCCAGCUGCUCACCCUCACCCUUCAGGCCCCCCAGGGUCUCCUAGGGAAUUGCUCACAGCUCUUCACCUCCUUCUGUGCCCCCACAUCCAGACUGCCCCGCCAAAGCAGAACCGUCCCCCUUCCCUGGCCCCCCAUCCAAAUCUGCUAAUCAGAAAAAGUCCUAGCCUAGUGCCUGGAAGAGAGAUCUGAAAUCAGAGAAGGGGUGGGGUGUGAAACUUUCCAGCACAGAGAUGCUGGGGGUGGGGGAAAUGGGUGGAGGGAGACAGGAGCUUAAGUUGUACCUAAAGGCUUGAGAUCAAAGCCGUCUGCCUUCCAGAUGGGGGCUGUGGGGGAGGGUUGCCCCCCUGGGGGCGGGUAAACCUGAGCACUCCCUCCUUCCUCGGAAACCCCCUGAGACUCUGCGGUGGCAGCUGUGCCCCAGCCCGCGCCCGGCGGGUUUCCUUUUCCGGUGCUUGCUCUCCCGACAGGCUGGCCUGCAGUCUGGAGACACUGCGCCUGGCCCUUUUGAAGGGGCUCCCUGGAGGGUCUUCCUGGACAAGAGGGAGGGGACCAGCUGGAGAACAAUGGUCUUCUGUGGCUCCCGGACGCCAGGCGCUUCCUGUUAAACCCUUCCCUGGGGACCCGGCUGCAGGGGGGAGCGAGGCGAGGGGAUUGACAAAGUCAGCAAAUGCACUGCAUUUUCUCUCGUUCCUCGUCUUGUUUGUGAAAGUAUCAGGAAGCGGUGAGGCGAAUGCAGACCUUGCCCUCCUCGGCGGAGUCACUCUGGGCGUUUCUUUUCCGCUCUGUGGCUGGGGGUUGUGCCCCCAGGGGAUGGGGCGUGGUUAGAAAUCCCAAGAUCUCUGGGGCUGGACUUGGCCCGGCAGGGGACCCAGGCAUCUCAGGUGAUUCCGAAGUGUGGCUGUAUUUGCCAACCAUGGUUCUAACUGCCUUGCUAGGUGAGCUGGAGGUUGCGGCCCCUGAGCCAUUCCCCAGGUGGGCUGGGCCUCGGUUUCCCUCAGUUUAGGAUUUCUCCCAAGCGUUGGACCAGAGCACCUGGUGGUCCUGAGGGGCCAGAGUGGCAGUGAGCUGAGCCGAGGGUCUUGGAAACACGCUGCUCUUCCUAGGAGCCCUGGGAAGAUAUGUUGGGGAAUUAGCCACUGUGUUAAUAGAGGCUUCAUGCAAAGUCCACUGUGUUUACAAAGCUAACCUGAGAUGCAUCCUCAGAAGAUUCUGUGAGCCUCUGAAGGGCCCCCGGAGACUCUGCAUCCAACCCCAGGGGCUUCCGGUUAGAGACCAGAUGACAUGCCCUAUUCUACGAACAGACAGUGUGUGUUGAUACUUAACUGCCAGCCAGGUGCUUUGCUGGAUAUACAUGUUAACUUAGUUAAACUGUGCCACCUGAAUAUUCAUUGGAAGGACUGAUGCUGAAGCUUCAAUACUUUGGCCACCUGAGGUGAAGAGCCGACUCACUGGAAAAGACUGAUGCUGGAAAGAUUGGCGGGAGGAGAAGGGUCCGACAGAGGGUGAGAUGGUUGAAUGGCAUUAGUAACUCAAUGGAUAAGAGCUUGGACAAACUCCAGGAGAUAGUGAAGGACAGGGAAGUCUGGUGUGCUGCAGUCCUUGGGUCACAGAGUUGGACACAACUGAGCGACUGAACUACCGCAAAACCCAGCCCCAAACUUGGGUCAGAAUUAAAGUCGGCACUUUCACUAAGCCCAUUUUAUGGAUGAGGGAGUUGAGGCACAGAGCAAACAUUUGUCUAGUAAUACAAAGCCAAUUGUUCUUUCUCUCCUGGAUUUGGUGGUGGAGGAUGGAGUGGAUGGUUAGGUGGACUUUUCUUACGUAUAACCAGCAACUUAUCUCUGGUUCACAGAUAAGGAAAGAGAACUCAGGGUGGUGAGAUCCACUGGCCAGGUCUCUCGCCCACCCCCAGGCAACAUGCAGGAUCUUAUCAAUAGUUCCCCGAGUGGGGAUGGAACCCACUCCCUCUGCAGUAGAAGCGUGGAGUCUUAACUACUAACUGCCAGGUGAGUCCCUGGAUGAUAGCUUCUUUUUAAUUAAUUUUUAAAGUUUUGGCUGUGCAGGGUCUUCCUUGCUUCGCACAGGCUGUCUUUAGUUGCGGUGAGUGGGGACGACUCUUCAUCAUGGUUCUCAUUGCUGUGGCUUCUCUUGUGGAGAACAGGUUGUGGGGCAUGCAGGCUCAGUGAUUGUGACGCACGGGCGUAGCUGCUGGAAUCUAACAUGUGGACCCUUCCUGGACCGUGGAUCGAAUUCAUGUUUGCUGCAUUGGCAGGUGGAUUCUUAUCCAGUGCACCGCUAGGGAACUCCUUCCUUCCAUUUAAAGACUGAAUAAUAUUCCAUUGUGUGGAUGUAACACAUUUUGGCAAUUCCAAGCACUUGGAUUGCUUCCGUGUGUUAGCCAUUGUGAAUAAUACUGCUGUGAACAUGGGUGCACAAAUAUUGCUUCGAGACCCUCCUUUCCAUUCUUUUGGCUGGAAUUGCUGGGUUGUGUGGGUAAUUCCAUUUUUAAGUUUUUGAGAAGCCUCCGUGCAGUUUUCCACAGUGGCUAUACUCUUUUGCGUUCCUGUCAACAGUGCACAGGAGCUCCAGUUUCUCCAUGUCCCCAUCAACACUUGUUGUUUUUUGUUUUGUUUCAUGAUAGCAGCCAUCCUCAUUAUCUGUGGCUGCUUUUGUUCUUUGGAGACAGGAGGGAAGGGAGCAGGGCACAACCUUUAAAAGUGUGACAUAGGACUUCCCUGGCCAAUGCAGGGGACACAGGUUUGAUCCCUGGUCUGGGAAGAUCCCAUGUGUCUUGGGGCAACUACGUCCACAUGCCACAAUUCCCAAGCCUGUGUGCCCUGGAGCCCAUACUCUGCAAUGUUUGUGUGGAGGGGCACCACAAUGAGAAGCCCAUGAAUGAGAAGCCUGUUUACUGCAACUAGAGAAAGCCUGCGUGCAGCAGCCAGAGCAUAAAUUAGUUAAUUUUAAAAAUUAUAAAAUAAAUAAAAGAAUGAUGUAGUCAUUGAGGAUACAACAUAAACUUUUUAGAAGUGAUUAGAUGUAAGAUGGUGGAAGAUGAGAUUUCCAGUGGACCUUGAGCCUCAUUAUGUGCUCACCGUAAUGCAUUUGUUGUUUAGUCAUUCAGUCGUGUCCAUGGACUGCAGCACACCAGGCUUCCCUGUCCUUCACCAUCUCCCAUGAAUUUGCUCAAACUCAUGUCCGUUGAGUCGGUGAUGCAUCCAACCAUUGUCUCCUUCUCCUCCUGCCUUCAAGCUUUCCCAGCAUCAGGGUCUUUUCUGAUGAGUCGACGUUUCACAUCAGGUGGCCAAAGUAUUGGAGCUUCAGCUUCAGCUUCAGCAUCAGUCCUUCCAAUGAAUAUUCAGGGUUGAUUUCCUUUAGGAUGGACUGGUUUGAUCUCCUUAUGACAGUGGAGGUGGACUUCCUUGGUGGUUUAGUGGCUAAAACUCUGUGCUCCCAGUGCAAGGGGCCUGGUUUGAUCCCUGGUCAGGGAACUAGAUCCCACCAAAAAAAUUCCACAUGCCUCAGUCAAGAUCGAAGAUUCUGUAUGCUGCAACUAAGACCUAGUGCAGCCAAAAAAUAAAAAUAAUAUUAAAAAAAGACAGUCAAGGACAUUCCUCAUGGUUCAGUGGUUAAGAUUUCACCUUCUGGUGCAGAGGUUUGUGGGUUCAGUCCCUGGUCGGGAAGCUAAGACCCCACAUGCUUCACAGCAAAAAACCCAAAACAAAAUAGAAGCAAUAUUGUAACAAAUUCAAUAAAUACUUUAAAAAAUGAUCCAUAUAUUAAAAAAAAAAAAAUGGGUUCUAGUCCCGAUCUGAGGUGUGUGUUUUCACUACACAGGCAGAGUGAAAUUGUUAUGACCACCACACCCAGAAGAAUUGAUGCUUUGAACUGUGAUGUUGGAGAAGACUUUUGAGAGUCCCUUGGGCUGCAAGGAGAUCAAACCAGUCCAUCCUAAAGGAAAUCAGUCCUGAAUAUUCACUGGAAGGACUGAUACUGAAGUUGAAGCUCCAAUACUUUGACCACCUGAUGCAAAGAGCCGACUCUUUUUGUUGUUGUUGUUGUUGCUCAGCGGUGUCCAACUCUUUGCGACCCCAUGGACUGUAGCCUACCAGGAUCCUCAGUCCAUGGGAUUUUCCAGGCAAGAAUACUGGAGUGGGUUGUCAUUUCCUUCUCCACCAGCUCUUUGGAAAAGACCUUGAUGCUUGGAAAGAUUGAGGGUAGGAGGAGAAGGGGGCAGCAGAAGAUGAGAUAGCUGGAUGGCAUCACUGACUCAAUAGACAUGAGUUUGAGCAAACUCUGGGAGAUGGUGAAGAAUAGGGAAGGCUGGCUUGCUGCAGUUCAUGGGGUAGCAGAGUCAGACAUGACUCAGCAACUGAAAAACAACAAAAACACCAACCCAAACUUAUUCCUAACUGAUCUCUGUACUGUAGAGAUGGUUGUCCUUCCAUGGAGGAGGUGGGGACAGGUAAUAUUUGAUGCUUAAAUACACUGAUAAGCUCUGAAAAAGAUAAACACCUGUCAGAAAAUGCACUGGGGUUAUGAGAGAAGGAGAGAGUGCUGGGGGAGAGCAGAGUGAUGGCUAAUUGAGAAAGAUAGUCAGGGACAUGUUUGAAUGUUCUUCCCAAUGGAGGUGUGGAAGGGAGGUCUGUGUUUGUUGCUGGAAAGCCCCUCACCUGGCCUCUGCCAACCUGUUCCUCCUGGGCAGCUGGGGACCCUGGGAGUGCUUAGGAGUUUUCUGUCUUCUGACUGUGGCCAGGAUGAAGUGACUUGGUAUCCCAGGUAUCAAGGCAGUGUCUCAGAGCAGUUUUGUUUUUUUUAAACUUAUUUGGCUGCAGUGGGUCUUAGUUAUGGUACGUGGGAUCUAGUACCCUGCCAAGGGAUUGAACCAGGCCCCCUUUAUUGGGAGUGUGGGAUCUUAGCCACUAGACCACCAGAGAAUUCCCAAUAAUAAUAAUUAAAAAAAAAAAAACCCUGGAUA